CAUGCGUGUUCCGUCUGCAGCUGCUGACGCCCAUCCUGGGAGCCUACACCAGCUUCGUUCCCUCUGAGCCCAUUCGGGAAGCGCCACACAGCUUCGGCUUCGGAAGAUCCAGGGCCGCGUCCUCUGUGAGGAAAUAGCCGUGACGGCUGAGGAGGGAGGGGCCAGCUCUAACCGAUUGCUUAAGUUGUUACAGAUGGUACAGAGCCAGUGGCUGAGUUUUGUAAAUCAGGUCACUGCAAGAUGAGCUCAUAAAUAAAGGCUGAAGAUCACAACCGGCGCUGAGUUUCUGAAUAUCAAGCAUGUAGACCUCAGGAACCACCAGAUCACCAUCUUAGAAUGUUAUCACUUUGGGCUUUGGGGAAACCUCUUCUGCGAGCCCCCUACGGUUGUGCUUUGGCUUCCUGAUCUUGCCAGGCCUGCUCCACGCCCACGGCUUUACCACCUUUGCCACCAACAGCUUGGCACAACUAUGCAACGACUACUGCCAUGAGAUGCUGAAUCACCUCUUUGUGCCUUCUCCUGACCCCCAGUUUCUGAGGGCCUGGACCCAUCUUUGGCGAGUCCCAGGGCAAUCAGAGCAGUUCAGACCUUUCCAAAAGAGCACCCAGCAGCGCCUGAUCCUUGCUGAGCAUCGUCGUGGAGAAUGGAGGAGUGUGGUAGCGAGCUGAGGACCAGAGUUGCUCUGGGGACUUGGUAACUGCCCCAUCUCCUCUUUGAGCCUCUGGAGUAUGGCGGCCGAUUGAGAGCCUCCCAUCUCUCUGGCUGACUGCCUCUCUGUCUCCACGGAAGAAUCACGCUGACUUUGUUGAAACCAUCAUCCAGGUGCUCUGGAGGCAGCGCCUGCCUGGACCAGAGCAAGCUCAGCCGUGAGCCCAGCCUCCGUGGCUCCCUGCUUGGGAUCCAAGUGCUUCCACACUGCAUCCCUGGUGGUCAAGGUCAAGGCUGCGGAAGAGAAUCCCUGGAGAUAAUACUGAAGACGUGGGAGAGCCAGUAAGUGAUUGAGCAAGAUCCUUCAGGAGGAGAUACUGAAAGAAAUGAUGGCAUGGUAUUCAGUACUAAGAAGAAAAUGAGUUAUCACAAAGACAUGGAAACACAUGGAGAGACCCUAAAUGCCUAUUAGUAAGUUAAAGGAGCCAAUCGAAAAAGCCGCCUUCUCUGAUUUCUAUGGGAUGCAAAAAUUCUCAAAUAUAGAGAAGGAAAUGUCAAAAUUGCAAGGAUGUGAUUGCCCAAGGCAGGCAACAGAUGCAGGAGCAGAAGGCACUCCCACAUGCAGCUGGUGAGUGUGCAAAGCUUUGGAAGCUUUGGGCAUGUGAAUUAAAAAGCCUUAUCAAUA